rnacentral:pre_miRNA from 1 species
CUUAUACUCCCUUUGUUCGAAAUUACUCGUCCAAAAAAGAAUGUAUCUAGAUGUAUUUUAGUUGUAGAUGCAUUCAUUUUUGUGACAAGUAAUUUCUAACGGAGGGAGUAUUUA